CUCAAACUGGACACUUUUAGCCGUUGGUCUCAAACUGCGCACUUUUUAGCCGUUGGCCUCAAACUGCGCACUUCUACCGGUAGGUGGAGUUAUCCUGAGGACCGCACCGACUCGUACCUGUCCAACAAGAUGCACCUGAGACCACCACAGCUUCACUUCAUACAGAGCGCUGUUGAGAGUUUCUGGGGCAUCGCCGAACUCCAUUCCCCUCCUGCUAAGGCAGCUGUUUAGAGGCCCUCAUCAAUAAGACAAGACUGUAAGGAAACCAGCAUGAAGAGCACGGCGGCCUCCUUCCCUUUCACAUCCCACAAUAACACCCACUGGCCAAUCUGAGGCACGAUAAAGUAGUGACACCCAACUCUGGUCCCACCCAGUCACCGUCUCUUUGUUGAAGGAUGGCACAGGAUGCAUUCGGGUGCUGAGAAGAGGGCCACCAGCUCAGCCUUCACAAUCCUCUGAGCAGUGGAGAGAUGGAGGAAAGCAAAAGGACAAAAUAAAGAUAGAGAACAAGGACCAAGACAUGGGAGAGGAUGAUAAGAGUGAGAAGAAUGGAGACAAAAGCCAUGUAGGGGAGAUGACCGGCUGGAUAUCAGAUUCCUCGUUGGCCUUCUUCAGCAUGCUGAACCAAUCCUCCAGAUUCUCAAAGCUCUGGUAGUUGGUGAUGUCGUAAACCAGGAGAACCCCCUGUGUUGGAAAAACAGAAAGGAACAACACAGUCCUCAGAGCUCACCUUUACAUUCCCUGGAGGAUGUCGCUGCAACAUGAGGGACGCAGAGGAAUUCACACCUGGAACACUUUGAAGCAGGUGGCAGAGAGUCAGUCAGUCAACAUGAAGCUGAGACUGAGGUUGCUCUUGUUGGACGGGAGGUCUCCCUCUGCUGGCGAGGACCAGAACCUGCCAUCAUGGAAAGAUGAGAUGAUCACUGUGUAAUAGCCGUGCCGGGAAAAGAUGCUGAAGUGAGGCCGGUGCAGUCUGUCCCGCCAGAAUCCACAUGUCCCGCUAUGAAGAGUCCCUAUAUUUUUGAGGAUCCUCGGUGGCUGCUGCUGACUUCGCUGGCCGUCCCCUCCGACCGGGUCUCUUUGGAGUCGUCUCUUGGUCGUCUUGUUGUUGCUCCUCCUCAACCUGGAGACAUAACAACGAAUAUUUAAGUCCCUAAGGCUGAUGAGAGUUUGAGAAAGAUUGAGCGAAUGAGUGACGUACAGAGCCAAGGAGAUCUCCUCUUCACCCUCGGCCUGGCUCACUGACGGGGAACAAUCUGGAAAAAGAUGACAUGUACAAUACAGAGGCUUUAAUGAUCAAGGUUCUUUAGGUUGCUCCUUCUCUGCCUCCUCGCUGGUUCUGGAUGAUCGACCCCGGCGUGGUGUUCUGACCUCCACAACCUUCUCCUGAUCCGUCUCCUGAAGAUCCGCCUGUUCCUGAACAUCCUCUGUCUUCACUUCUAACGCCUGGACCUCUGAUGCCAGCUCCUCUGCCUUAUCCAGUGUCCUCCCAUCCUGGUGGCUGUCUCCUUCCUCAACAAUACUCAUGUCCUGCUCGCCGUCCUCCACCAGCUGCAUGGGCUCGUCUUGUCCUCUACGUCCUUUAUCGGAGCUGGCCCUGACGCUGGCCUCCUGGUUGAGAGAGGUGAUGGUGUCCAGGAUGGACAUGGCAUUGCUGGCUGCAGUGGUAGCCGGAGCAGACGACGAGGCUGUAAAAAAUGGAUCAAAAGCUGUGCACCUGGCUCAGGAAUGCUGAUGUCUGGUUUGGUCUCUGUUGGAGGCAGUGGCGGUGGUGGCUCCUCAGAGCAGCUGCCAGGUGACAAAAAUUCACGGACCACCCUCUCCACCUGCGGCCUGAAGAUGUGGUUGACUUUGGGAUCCACCACCUGGGCCACGAUCCUGUCCACUCCCUGCUCCAGCAUCCCAGAUCUAAGAGGAACAGAUAAAAGGAUUCAGCGUGGGUCGCGUUGAAGAUGAUGUCACAGCAGUUUCACGCUAUGACGAAAUAGAGAAAUGGACCUGAUACCAAAAGUGAGUCGAGUGGAGCCGAAACCAUGCAGUGGAAAUGAGGCAUUAGAUACCAAAC